CCUACGGGUGGCAGCAGUGGGGAAUAUUGGACAAUGGGCGAAAGCCUGAUCCAGCCAUGCCGCGUGUGUGAAGAAGGCCUUCGGGUUGUAAAGCACUUUCAGUGGGGAAGAAAGCCUUGGGGCUAAUACCCUCGAGGAAGGACAUCACCCACAGAAGAAGCACCGGCUAACUCCGUGCCAGCAGCCGCGGUAAUACGGAGGGUGCGAGCGUUAAUCGGAAUUACUGGGCGUAAAGCGCGCGUAGGCGGUCUGAUAAGCCGGUUGUGAAAGCCCCGGGCUCAACCUGGGAACGGCAUCCGGAACUGUCAGGCUAGAGUGCAGGAGAGGAAGGUAGAAUUCCCGGUGUAGCGGUGAAAUGCGUAGAGAUCGGGAGGAAUACCAGUGGCGAAGGCGGCCUUCUGGACUGACCCGGACGCUGAGGUGCGAAAGCGUGGGUAGCAAACAGGAUUAGAUACCCUGGUAGUC
rnacentral:rRNA from 1 species